UAUUCAAAAUAUUUUAAAUCAUAUAGAGACUUGCUUCAAAAAAUACGAAGAAUUUUGCGUGAAAAAUCGACACCCAUUUCUUGAAAACCUCGAACCGAGUUUGCCGGGAGGACAUUUGAUCAUCAUCUCGGCUGCCUCAUCAUCAUCGCCGAUUGUUAAUAUGCAGAGUUCGGGUCCUCCUUAUCAAGGAAAGGAAGCACGUCAACUGAUUGGAUAAAUGAUUUUGGAUUCAUGGAUCUGUAGAAAUUGUCACAGAAUACUAUUAUUUAGGUAUUCCAUUUUCUUCUAAUAGUUUAUUUAAAUUUCUACCAAAUAUAAUCUUUAAAUUUUUUACACAAAAA